AACGAAUCUAGUAUACCUUUUAACUCUACGAGUAACGUUUAUACAAAUUGGGGAAAACUGCAUGGACUCAGGCAGUGCAUUCGAAUGGCAGCCCAUCUUGCGUUUGAAGCCUUUGUCCGUGCACAAAAACCCUAGAAAAGGAAAGCAUUGCGCGGGAGCCUGCAUUGAAGUCCGUUACAAGCGAAAUGCAUUAAGCCCACGAGUUUUAAUUAAAUUAUUAUUAAUCUCAUUUGACUGCGUGCAUGUGUGGGUUAAGUCCGGCCGCACCUGGCUCCACCUGGCUCCACCUG